rnacentral:rRNA from 1 species
GGUGAGUAACACGUGAAUAAUCUACCUCCGAGUGGGGAAUAACUGAGAGAAAUCUUAGCUAAUACCGCAUAACACUUACGAGUCAAAGCAGCAAUGCGCUUGGAGAGGAGUUCGCGGCAGAUUAGUUAGUUGGCGGGGUAAUGGCCCACCAAGACGAUGAUCUGUAUCCGGCCUGAGAGGGCGCACGGACACACUGGAACUGAAACACGGUCCAGACUCCUACGGGAGGCAGCAGUGGGGAAUUUUGCGCAAUGGGGGAAACCCUGACGCAGCAACGCCGCGUGGAGGAUGAAAUCCCUUGGGAUGUAAACUCCUUUCGAUAGGGAAGAUAAUGACGGUACCUAUAGAAGAAGCCCCGGCUAACUUCGUGCCAGCAGCCGCGGUAAUACGAGGGGGGCAAGCGUUGUUCGGAAUUAUUGGGCGUAAAGAGUUCGUAGGCGGUUUGUUAAGUCUGAUGUUAAAGGUCGGGGCCCAACCCCGAAACUGCAUUGGAUACUGGCAGACUUGAGUGUGGUAGAGGUAAGUGGAAUUUCUGGUGUAGCGGUGAAAUGCGUAGAUAUCAGAAAGAACACCAGU